ensembl:lncRNA
GAGCGAGACGAGAGAGGGGAAGACUAGAGUGAGAGAACAAUAGAGAAAGGAAGUCAAGAGGCACAGAAUCCUAGAGCAGAGCCAGAGAUGAGAGGGAGCAGCCGCAGCCCAGAUGACAUCUCCAUACCAGGGUUUGUUCCUGGCACCAGAGAGGUUGGAUGGAAACCUGUGGAAUUGCAGACUAGAGCAGCAGACUUUAAGCAGGGGAUUGGCUGUAAAGCUGCUGUGUGCCUUUCGGCUGUUCUGUCAGCUGUGACUGUGUGAUGUGGUGUCCAGGACUAGAGCCUGGGACCGAGGCCAAGUCUGACUUCUGACUGGCCAUUGGCCCAGAGUGGCAGGUGGAACAGGGGCUGUAGCCAGUAGCCAGACAGGUGACAGGAGAGAGAGGCCAGGAACAUCAGAACACUCCAUGGAGCAGAGUUGAGUCAUAGCAGAGUCAUUCUAGUGACUUGGGCAAUGCAUCAUAUUUCAUUAAGUUCUACAUAAAUUAUUUACUAUACAUGGCCUAUAUUUUUAGCAGGAACAUUGUGAACAAAUUAACAGCAUAUGUAGUUAGCCCCCUCCCUAUAGUUACAGUAGAGAUACCAUCUUCUGUUUUAGAUUCAGUCGAAACAUUCUCUUCUCUGACUUAUUCUGAUGGUUCAGUUCAUUGGGUAUGAUUACUGUCUGAAAUAUGAAGGGUUGGGAAUAUAGAAACAUCAAGCAUGUGUGAUGUUUUGAGGUUUGAGUCGGGCACAUCCUCGGCUACCUCGGCUAGACUCGUUCAUGAGGACCCGUCGUCUGUUUUAUGCGGAGGAUCUCAGCACCUCUUUAGGCAGUUUGAUGGAAGAGAAUCAAGUGUCUCACUACAGUGUGUGUGGUGACUUACACCCCUAUUCAUUUAAUUAUAAUAUUUUAUUGGGUAGGAGUGCUGAGCUGCCACCUCUCUGGCAUCCGUCAGAAGGUACCCAGGAUGCACCCUGUCCCCCUCCCUCUCUCUGUCUGCCUUGGAAUAUAUUGAUGUCUCUGGUUUGAUCUCCAAACAUUUUGGUUAGCCCUGCAUUCCAUGCUCUCUGUGACCUCCACUGUGAUGAGAAACAGACGGACGGUCAACUAGAAGACUGGAUUUAAGUCUAUUAUGUAAAACGCCUGAUGCCUCUGAAAGGAAGAUGAAGUAGUGUAGCUAAUGUUGUAGUGUCAGACACUAGCUUUGAGUCUCUGAGAAUGUAAAGUCCAAAUCUCUGAGUAAACCACUACUGAAACAUGUUUCCAUGUGCCAUCUGCUGUAGUAGAAUGGCCCCUUUAUUCCAAUGGACUUGUUGACCUCAGUUCUUUGAUCUAGUCGACAGAGACACACGCUACUCCUGUCUCUCAGUGGGGUAUCAAUCAUUCUGCAUCAUAGCCUUUUGAACCCAGUUCAGUCUGUGUGGGGGGCUGUGUUGGGGGACUGGGCACAACAACCCAAAACACACACAGUCACGGAACACAGAUUACAACUGAGGAGAAACAAAGAGGAGAGGAGGAGAGCCUCGCACGCUAACCAACUGUUGGAUCUCUGAGAGCGUCGCACGCUAACCAACUGUUGGAUCUCUGAGAGCGUCGCACGCUAACCAACUGUUGGAUCUCUGAGAGCGUCGCACGCUAACCAACUGUUGGAUCUCUGAGAGCGUCGCACGCUAACCAACUGUUGGAUCUCUGAGAGCGUCGCACGCUAACCAACUGUUGGAUCUCUGAGAGCGUCGCACGCUAACCAACUGUUGGAUCUCUGAGAGCGUUGCACGCUAACCAACUGUUGGAUCUCUGAGAGCGCUGCACGCUAACCAACUGUUGGAUCUCUGAGAGCGUU